AUAUGCUCGUAUCGUCUACAGAGCCCUACCUGAAGUUUUAUAAUAAUAAUAAGAAGAAGAAUUAUUAUUAUUAUUAUUAUUCCACAGAAACGUUUUAAUAGUAAGCUAGCUAACUAGCUACGAAGGACGACCGCAGCUGCUUUCGUCAAACAAACUUUAUGCAUGAGAUAUAACGCAGACAAUGGGACACGUUUUUUGUUCUGUGGACGCCAAAUGUUAGGCGGAUAGUGGACACGUUUUCUAUAGGCCCUUAUUGGAUUGCCCCAGUGUGGUUCACCUCGUAGGCUAUUGUAUUCACACUUCAAAAACACGGCCCAAAUUGUACUUCGUGCAUAAACGAAGUCACGUGUCACAUUAUGUUUGAAGUCUGGGCGUCAUAUGACUUACAACCUGUUGAUUUCAGCAACAAACAUAGCUGUGGUUCGACUGCGCUGCCCAACAGUAGCCUAUUCCAAUGAUUCUUGUUAGAUACAGCAUCUAUGCGACUUGGAAUAUUUUCUGUUUCCAUCACCCGUUGAUCGUUGGCUAACCUAGUUUGCUGGGAAAUGAUUGCAUUAUUCAGCUAUGUUAAAAAAGAAUCAAAGAUUAAUGUUCUAAAUAUGUUGUUCAUAUUUUGGUCGAUGCUGUCUGAAGCGCCGAUGGCUCGCUGUGUGUGGCCCUUGCCGCAGAAGAUCAGUCAGUUUGCGGAGCGGUACCCACUAAAUCCGAAGUCCUUUGCUUUUCUGUAUACAAAUAAUUCAGAUGUGCAGCUCGGUUGCUCGGUUCUUGAUACAGCAUUCAAAAGAUACUUCUCACUCACGUUCCCAGGUUACAGCGGAGGGAAAGAGAGGAUUCAGGACCGCCUAGCAGAAAAUCCUUCCUCUGGAGGGUACAACUAUGCCCUGGUAGUAAGUGUACAAGAGGGCGACUGUGAUGGCUACCCAAAUGCGGAGUCCGAAGAGAAAUACAACCUGAGUGUGUCUGCAGGCGGUGGGCUGUUGGUGGCCAAGACGGUGUGGGGGGCCCUGAGAGGCUUGGAGUCAUUCAGUCAGCUGGUUUACCAAGAUGAGAAUAACAGCUUCUUCGUCAAUAAGACCGAAAUUGAAGACUUCCCACGUUUCCUCUACAGAGGGAUCCUGCUUGACACAUCCCGGCACUUUUUGCCCGUGCAAACCAUCCUUAAGACCCUGGAUGCCAUGUCGUACAGCAAGCUCAACGUGUUUCAUUGGCACAUUGUGGAUGACCCUUCCUUCCCGUACCAGAGCCGAAGCUUCCCCCACCUCAGCAACCAGGGUGCUUUCCACCCCAGCACCCACGUGUACACCCAGACAGACGUGAGGAGGGUUAUCUCUCAUGCCCGACUGCAUGGGAUCAGGGUCCUGCCUGAAUUCGACACGCCCGGCCACACCCAGUCCUGGGGUAAAGGCCAGCCCAACCUGCUGACUCCCUGUUACCACGGUGGCAAGCCAUCGGGGACGCUGGGCCCGGUCAACCCGGCUGCUGGGUCCAGCUACCAGUUCAUGACCCGCUUGCUGAAGGAGAUUUCCAGUGUCUUUCCUGAUUCAUAUGUUCAUCUUGGAGGGGAUGAGGUGGACUUUAGCUGCUGGAAAUCCAACUCUGAUGUACGAAUGUUCAUGAGCAAGAUGGGAUUUGGGAGUGACUUCACUAAACUGCAAGCAUUCUACAUGGAAAGCCUCAUUAAUAUCACCGGUUCUUUGAAGAAGACAUCCAUUGUCUGGCAGGAGGUGUUUGACUACCAUGAGAAGCCCAAGCUCCUGUCAGUGGUGGAGGUGUGGAGAGGGGGUUGUUACCUGUGCAAGAUGAGGAAGGUGACCCGGGCAGGGCUGCGGGCCAUCCUGGCCUCGCCCUGGUACCUGGACCAGCCCGGCCCAACCCACGACUGGUCCCCAUACUACAACGUGCGGCCGCUGGCAUUCACCGGCUCUGAGCAACAGAAACAGCUGGUGAUUGGUGGAGAGGUCUGCAUGUGGGGGGAGUAUGUGGACGCCACCAACUUGGCACCCAUGCUGUGUGUGUGUGUGUGUGUGUGCGUGUAUGCAUGUGUGUGCCUGUCUGUGUGUGUGUGUGUGUGUGUGUGUGCAUGUGUGUGCUUGCUUGUGUAUGUGUGUGUGUGUGAUUGUGUGUAUGCGUGUGUUCAUGUGUGUGUGCUUAUUUAUGUGUGCUUGUGUGUGAGUGUGUGCAUAUGUGUGUGUGUUUAUGCAUGUGUAUGUGUGUGCCUGUGCAUGCGCAUGUGUGUGUGCGUGUGUAUGCAUGUGUGUGUGUAUUUGUGUGUGCGUGCAUGUGUAUGCAUGUGCAUGAGUGUGUGCAUGUGUAUGCAUGUGUGUGUGUAUUUGUGUGUGUGUGCAUGUGUAUGCAUGUGCAUGUGUGUGUGUGUGUAUUUGUGUGUGUGUGCAUGUGUAUGCAUGUGUGUGUGUGUAUUUGUGUGUGUGCGUGCAUGUGUAUGAAUGUGCAUGUGUGUCUGUGCAUGUGUAUGCAUGUGUGUUUGUAUUUGUGUGUGUGUGUGCAUGUGUAUGCAUGUGUGUGUGUGUGUUUGUGUGUGUGUGCGUAUGUGUAUGCAUGUGUGUGUGUGCACAGGCCGAGGGCGAGCGCAGCAGCGGAGAGGCUCUGGAGCGAUGAGGAGCAGACCUGCUCUGUGUCCGAUGCCUUCCCCCGCCUGGCUGAGUUUCGCUGCAGGCUGCUGAGGCGUGGGGUCCAGGCAGGCCCUCUGUCGGUGGGGCACUGCCG